UUAGCCCCGGAAGCAGCAACAAAGUGACAUUGGACUGGGGAGGAGGAAGCACAACUUUAUUUUCUGGCCCGAAGCUGGGUUGGUAUUUGGGGGAGUUCUUGGGAACACAGUGUGUCUGUGCAAUUUCAACCCUGGGGGAUCCAGGGGACUCCAGCCAUUCCAGAGGAGGGCAGCGGACCGUGGAGGCCGGGUGCAGCCCCGUCGGCUGCGCGCUCUCUGCAGAAAAGGAUUUUCUACGCUCCCCGCCCAUCACUUGGAUCUCGUCUGGGGAGGGGCGGAUUUUUUUUCUGGAAGUACCCUUCUUCUCCACGGUGGAGGAUUUAAGGCUGGGCUCCAAUCGAGGCGGAGGCUGCAGGGCCCGCGGGGCGCCCCCCGCCCGGCGCACGCCUGCCCGGAGCCCGGGAAGGCGCAGCCCUGGGUGGGGGGGCCCGUGCACCCCCGGAGGCGGCAGCGGCGGUGAGUGCUCCCCUUCUUCCCGCCUGGCACCUUCCGCCAGCCAAGGCAGGGAUCGCGGCAGAUAAACCUGCCAGUAAUUUCAGCAAAUGAAACGUGGAACACGUCAAGGCCAGAGGAUGGAAAAGGCUCCAGUUUUGAUAAAAGGAGGCCUGCUUGGCUUGGAAUCCUCUCUCCUGCUGGUUGGGAGAUGCAAAGAUGUUUCCAGAGAGGGGCUGAUGAAUUGAGGGGAAAGAAAUGAGCCCAGUAUGAGUCCCCUUUCAGGGCUGAGCGUGUAUAAAACCAAACAACUUGGAACCGCUCCAAGAGAGGGGAUUAAAGCAACAUGUUAUUCUGAGUGAUUGCUUAAUUUAUUGAGCUGCGGCUGGAUCUGUAAUGAAAUACAGCCCUUGUAACUGAUAACCUCCUGCUGCCAUUGAACUUCUACAAUUAAGGAAUAUUUUCUGAGUUUCUCUGGAACGGCUCUGAAUUUUUAGCCUCUGUGGUAGGGUGCUUCUGAACAUUUGUUUUCCAGGCAAUUUUUUUUGAGUAUUAGGCUGAUGUUAAUAAAUAAGCAGCAUUUUAUUGAGUGUUUUGUGGGAACCAGGAACUUUAUAUACAUUGUUUCUAAUCCUGACACUAAUCCUGUCAAUAUCCAGUGAAAUAACCCCUAUUAUUCCCUAUUUUACAGAUGUGAAGCCACGAGACGUUAGGUCAUUUUCUAGAGUGGUGCUGUCCAAGACAGUAGCUGUGAUGGCUCCUUGUGGCUAUUGAUGUGUAAAUUAGUUAAAAUUAAAUAAAUUUUAACAUUUACACCCUAGGUUGCACUAACAAUGAGUUCAAGUGCCCAGCAGCCCCGUGUACUGUGGCUGAUGGCUACCACAUUGGACAGUGCAGAUAUAGACCAUUUGAAGGUUGCACAAGUGCUAUUGGUCAGCACUGACUUAGAUUUCCUUUUUUUUUUUU
rnacentral:lncRNA from 10 species